AACGCACCUUGCGCCCCUUGGUAUUCCGAGGGGCAUGCCUGUUUGAGUGUCUUGAAAUCAUCAAACCUAACCGGUCUUUGUUGGCCGGCGCGGUUUGGACUUGGGGGUUUCCUUGCUGCCGCUCGCGGUGGCUCCCCUUAAAUUCAUCGGUCGGGCUUUCGUGCGGCUCUGUCCCUUGGCGUUGUAUUACCCUCGUCGCUGGAUGGCUCGCGAUACUGCGCCCUUCUUUGACCUGCCUCUGGAGUGGCGGUCUUCAACUUUUGUGAUCUGACCUCAAAUCAGGUAGGACUACCCGCUGAACUUAA
rnacentral:misc_RNA from 1 species